rnacentral:rRNA from 1 species
CUGGCGGCGUGCCUAAUACAUGCAAGUCGAACGGUCUUUCUAUGGAAGCUUGCUUCCACUGAGAAGAUAGUGGCGAACGGGUGAGUAACACGUGGGUAACCUGCCCAUAAGAGGGGGGAUAACAUCCGGAAACGGGUGCUAAUACCGCAUAGUUUUCUUGAUUGCAUGAUUGAGAAAGGAAAGACGGCCUUUGUGCUGUCGCUUAUGGAUGGACCCGCGGCGUAUUAGUUAGUUGGUGAGGUAACGGCUCACCAAGACGAUGAUACGUAGCCGACCUGAGAGGGUGAUCGGCCACAUUGGGACUGAGACACGGCCCAAACUCCUACGGGAGGCAGCAGUAGGGAAUCUUCCGCAAUGGACGAAAGUCUGACGGAGCAACGCCGCGUGAGUGAAGAAAAGGUUUUCGGAUCGUAAAACUCUGUUGUCAGAGAAGAACAAGUUGGAGAGUAACUGCUCCAGCCUUGACGGUAUCUGACCAGAAAGCCACGGCUAACUACGUGCCAGCCGCAGC